ACUUCUGAGCUUGGCCCAAGCAAGCGAGUCUCAAUGACGUAGAAGGGCGUGUUGGGGGUGUGUCGCGGCCGCAUGACGUCAUGGCGCGUCCCCCGAAAGUACAAUUUAAACCGAAGAUAUCUCAGGAACGCUUGGUCGGAUCGAAGUGGGACCUUCACCAUUCGACUCAGCGUCCAAAACUCUACGGACCAUGAAGUUUUGAUUUUUGGGUGUAGUUCCCCUUUAACUUCCCCUUUAAAGGGAAACUGAACGCCAAAAAUAAGUAUGGCUUAUCCGAAGGAGAAUUGGGCACUGAUUCCGAUGAGCUAUGUCUCGAGCCGAUCAGAGAAGAGGAACUGUGUCAAAUUUCAUAAAUAACACCUCCCAUAUUUGGAAAUUGGCCUUGAUGACGUGCGUACUGCUUAGCUGUCACCAUGCUGUGCAUGUUCAGCAGUGUAAUUGAAUGGAAGAAAACAAUUACUUUGGUGUUUUGCAGCUCUGUUUCGUUCCCUGACGGUAACCAAAUCUAGAUGUAGGAAUCUGUUGAGCAGGAGAGUGACACAUGUCUUCCCGAAGGCUGUCCAGGCUGCAGUGGUGAUGAAGAAGACACGAUCAUCACCCCGAGAUCCAUCGUAGCGAAUUGGAAAACUCAUGGUGAAUUUGCUUCCACUCCAAGGCAAUGUCGAGGUAUGAAGGGUGCUUGUACUGCCUUCCAAAGUGAAGAGGAGAUGAACAUGGCUUUGCAUAGCUGUUGUUCUAUGCCAACUUACCUACUCUUGCUGGUACCGUAGUGGCAUAUUGCAAAUUUCGUGGACGAACAACUCUAGUCACUAGUGGCUAGUGAGCAACACUAACAGAGCCUUGACGUUGCUGGAUGAGCGACAAUAUAAAUUACAUAAACAUGUAGCUCGUGAUGUGGGAUGACUGCCGUAUCGCAUUGCCAACGCAAACCCAUCCUGUGUCAGUGCAGCCAUCCAGCAACUUGAACUCCCCGGACCAGAUGCCGCUGCAGCUGAACACCAUGCCGAUGGAAAGCCAGGAGUUGAUAGCAAAGCAUUCUGGUCUGCACAGUACAAGGCAAAAAACAAUUAUGAAUUAUAAUGCAUUGUAAUCUUUCCCACACUUCUUUGUAAAAACAAACAAACAGUGCCAUUAUCACAACACUUGAUCAAGCAUCUUGAUGGAGGUAUUUUCCAUUGUGCUGGCUCAGCAUCUGUA